UACGUAGGGGGCAAGCGUUGUCCGGAAUCAUUGGGCGUAAAGCGCGUGUAGGCGGCUGGGUAAGUCCGCUCUGAAAGCCCGGGGCUCAACCCCGGGAGGCGGGUGGAUACUGUCAAGCUCGAGUCCGGAAGAGGCGAGUGGAAUUCCUGGUGUAGCGGUGAAAUGCGCAGAUAUCAGGAGGAACACCAAUGGCGAAGGCAGCUCGCUGGGACGUGACUGACGCUGAGACGCGAAAGCGUGGGGAGCAAACAGG
rnacentral:rRNA from 1 species